CUGAUGCGGGGCUCGAACUCACAAACCGAGAGAUCAUGACCUGAGCUGAAGUCAGGUGCUUAACCGACUGAGCCACCCAGGCGCCCCAUCUCCUUCUCAGGUUCUAACACACAUAUGUUAACCCUUUAAUAUUGUCCAGCAGGUGCCUGAGAUGGCUUGCUCAUGUUCUUCAACAUUUUCCUGUUCUUCAGAUUGGAUAAUGACCCUUAGUCUGUCUUUAAAUUCACUCUUCUAUCAGCUUCAGUCUGCUGUGAAUCCCAUAUGUGUGCGCUUUCCGAGGCCAGAUCACUAAGAGCUCUGCAGCUUGCGCCUUCUUUCCUGCGGAUUCCCACUCCAGGGGACGCCAGCCCUGUGUUGGGAGGACACUGGAGCAGCUUGUGGAGAGGCCCCUGUGGGGUGGAACGGAGGCCGCCUGCCAAUAUCCAGAAACACCCGAGUCAGCCAUCUUGGUAGCCCACCUGCAGCCCCAAAGCUGGCUCACCCACCCUGAAUUCCCGACCAAAGAAACUGCACAUGAUAAUCAAUGUCUACUGUUGUUUUCAACCAUUAAGUUUUGGGGUAACGUGACACAUGACAAUCAAGAAUAGACAAGUUCCCGGGGCACGGAUCCCGGUGUCUCUGCCAUACGCCAGGGACAUUCGUGGGCUUGGACGAGGUGUCCACUCCAGCGGGCCCAGAGCUCCCACGACAGUUGUUCUGUGGCAAGCCUGGAGGCCUCACCAUCCGUGCAGCCCCGUCCUCAGCCAAGGACAGUGGGAACUCUGAGACUCCCCUCUCACCGGAUUCCGGCAGCACCACUGCGUCCUCAGCUCAGUAAUAUGGGGUGGCCUGGCUGGACGCCAUCUCUCUGUGCCAGGGUGGGAGACUGCCACAGUAGCAAGCUGGGGUGGGCAAGGUGGACCUCAGGAAUUUCCCUUCCCUGGGGAUUGCAGUCCUGCAUUUCCUGUUUUUCACACCUGAAAAGGGCUGCCUCGUCUGUUUUGUCCAUGUUAAU